UCAGCUAUAAAGACAGAGGCUAUAUAGCCGAAAUUUUCAGUUCUAUUCUGCAAGCUCAGAGCUGCAAAAAGCCUGCGGCGCUCGGAGGCGCCCAGUCCUGGGGACCUCUUUCCUCUACUCUUUAUUCUCAGCAUAGGAAGAUGGGACUGGGGAAUUCUUUUUGGUUUUCUGGUUUUGUUUUGCUCUGGUUUUGGUCGGGUUUUGUAUUUUCCUAUUCUUCCUUGGUUUUAUUUUUUCCUUUUUUUUUUCUCUUUUGCUUUUUUCUUUUCUGUCAUUCUCCCAGCCAAAAGCCGCCUUCGACCCUUUUGAUUUGAUGUAGCAAAGAGUGUGUGUCCAGAUUAUCUGAAAUAGACACUGAAGAAGCUACACAGAUGGUGAAGCAGGGCCCGGAAGAAGACCAUUCAGAAAAAAAGCGUUCCAGGGUUCGUGAUGGGCUGCCGGCAGACCAGUGUGGCUCAGAUCUGGUGACUUUUUGGAGAGGACAGCAGACACACGAGGACCUUGACUUCGGCGCACAGACGGUGCAAAAAGGAGACAAAGACGGACAGAACCGAAAAAAGAGCAUAUUUCCCCCUCCUACGUAAUUUUUUUUUCCUGAUAGUCUCACAAAGCUGAGAGUCUGGUCGGGUCCAGCGGCUUGUCUUGUUGCACUGGCUGUCUCCAGUGGUUGUGCCUGCGCUUUGAGGUCACUCUGCUGUCACCGUGGCCCAAACCAGGUUCAAGCCCAGAGCUGAAAAGUCGCUGGGCCAGAUUUUUAGGGGCUCCGAGGAGGCAGCAAGCCUUCACUGUUCCUUUUUCUUUUAUUUUUACGUCCCCCGCCCUCGCCCUUGGGCCCUUCUCCUUCCGGCCCAGGGCGUGCGAAUGAGUGGAUGAACCUGGAGGCGGGAGGGGCCGGGCCAAGGGAGAUGGGCAGGAAGCGGGUGAGUGCGAACUGAUAACCUCACAUCAGUUGAGGCUGCUGCAUAGCUUCUUGGUGCGCUGAGGGAUACCACGACGUGUAGCUGGGGACGUAGGAGCCAGCGCUGCUGCCGGAGCCCUUCCCAGAGGAGGAAUUCGGAUUCCAGCCGGGUGGUACCGGUGGGGAGCCGGCAGACAAGGCCCUGCCAUUCGCCAGCGCGCUGCCCUCCAGAGCUGCCCCGCCUUGCUUCAUCAGCUUCUUGAACUUGGAGCGUUUGUUCUGGAACCAUAUCUUGACCUGCAGGAUCGGGCGACAACGUGACUGGACUAUGACCACUGAGCCUACCCAGCUCUAGGGUGGAGAAAAGGGGCUGGUGGCAAACAAUACCCUCCCUCCUUGCUUUGGAAAAGCUGACAGCUCCAGGAUAGAGGGGCAGAGACCACCGCCAUCCCACACCCCCAUGAGCGCCAAAGGCCAGAAAACUGAGCCCCGGGUCCCGCCGCCGCUGGUUUCCUUGAGAGUAGCUCUCAGAGACCGGGAUAAGAAAACAGGGGAGGAGACCCAGGCCUUGACUUGCAAAUGAGUCGGUGCCACACCGGCUGAUGUUUAUGAAAGACCUCGUGCAGAACAAUGCAAUAUCAAUAAAGAAAAUUUAAAACCUA
rnacentral:sRNA from 1 species